rnacentral:rRNA from 1 species
AUGUCGUCACCUCUCUCCGUCGUCGCCGGAUGCUUCUUGCUCCUCGCCGCAUCCGCCAUCCCCGGAUGCGUAUGCGUCAACGACGACUACAGCAUGCAGACCAUCGCGACGUCCCUCGGCGCGGACCGUGCUCUGGGGUGGGGCAACGACUCAUCCCCGUGCACCCACGGCUGGACCGGAGUUGUGUGCAAUGAGCGUGGGAGGGUGACGGCGAUCCGCGCGCGCAACGCCAGCCUGAACGGCACGCUGCCGGGGGAGAUUGCGUUGCCGUGGCUGAAGGAGCUGGACCUGCGGGACAACGCCAUCACCGGCCAGCUCCCCAGCACCGUCUUCCUCCGGCUGGACAACAACAACUUCACGUCCGUGGCCGUUGGGUUCUUGGCCGGCGCGAGAUCGCUGCAGGUUUUCACCAUCAGCAACAACUCGCAGCUUGAGGGUUGGGAUCUCCCAAACAAUCCUCACACGAUUGGCAACCUCCGAGACUACAUCGCCAACAACGCUAGCAUCACCGGGACGCUCUCGAGAUUCCUCGGCUCCAGCACGUUCGCCGCCCUCGGCAGUCUCUCUUUGGGGAACAAUCGGCUCACCGGCGAGGUUCCGACGACGUUCUCAAGCCGGACCCUCACCCACUUGGAUCUGAGUGCUAACUUCCUCUCGGGGCCGUUGAACUUCAUUGCGAAACUUCCGGAACUCGAAGAACUUCGACUCGACCGGAACAGCUUCACCGGGCCGUUACCUGACUUCAGCGGACUAUGGAGCCUCUAG